GAAAACCGAGCGAGGAUACAUGAACAGUAUCUCUGAGAUGAAAAAAAGAACUUGUCCUCGCGACACACACAAGUGGUUCUUCAACGAACAAUGAAUCCAGAGUUGUACAUUUGGCACUAACAGUACGCCCUUUGCGGGCAGCAGCAGCCGUCUCAGUUGAUACUGAUUGUGCAUGCAUGUGAGCUUAAUUUUAAAGCUUUGUUACUACUAACCUUAGGCUCUUGUUGUGGCAAAUUCACAUGUUCUUUUUCAUGGUUUUGGCUUUUGCUUUGGACAGGAAGCUUUUGUUGAGG
rnacentral:sRNA from 1 species